rnacentral:rRNA from 1 species
AGGGUUCGGCCCUCGGCUGACGGCUCAGUAACACGUGGAUAAUCUGCCCUUAGGUGGAGGAUAAUCUCGGGAAACUGAGGAUAAUACUCCAUAGAUCUAGGAUGCUGGAAUGCAUCUAGAUUGAAAGCUCCGGCGCCUAAGGAUGAGUCGGCGGACUAUCAGGUUGUAGUCAGGAUAAAGACCUGACUAGCCUACGACGGAUACGGGUUGUGAGAGCAAUAACCCGGAGACGAUAUCUGAGACACGAUAUCGGGCCCUACGGGGCGCAGCAGGCGCGAAAACUUCACACUGUGCGAAAGCGCGAUGAGGGAAUCCCAAGUGUUUGCUCGUAAGAGUAAACUGUUUCUUUGUUUAAAACGCAGGGAGAGUAAGGGCUGGGUAAGACGGGUGCCAGCCGCCGCGGUAAUACCUGCAGCUCGAGUGGUGAUCAUUAUUAUUGGGCCUAAAACGUCCGUAGCCGGUUUAGUAAAUGCCUGGGUAAAUCGUGUAGCUUAACUAUACGACUUCCGGGUAGACUGCUAAACUUGAGACCGGGAGAGGCUAGAGGUACUCCUGGGGUAGAGGUGAAAUUCUGUAAUCCUAGGGGGACCACCAGUGGCGAAGGCGUCUAGCUAGAACGGGUCUGACGGUGAGGGACGAAGCCCUGGGGCACAAACCGGAUUAGAUACC